rnacentral:rRNA from 1 species
ACUCCUACGGGAGGCAGCAGUAAGGAAUAUUGGACAAUGGGCGCAAGCCUGAUCCAGCCAUCCCGCGUGCAGGAAGACAGCCCUAUGGGUUUUAAACUGCUUUUAGAAGGGAAGAAACGCCUACAUUUAUGUGGGUUUGACGGUACCUUCAGAAUAAGCACCGGCUAACUCCGUGCCAGCAGCCGCGGUAAUACGGAGGGUGCGAGCGUUAAUCGGAAUUACUGGGCGUAAAGCGCAUGCAGGUGGUUUGUUAAGUCAGAUGUGAAAGCCCGGGGCUCAACCUCGGAAUUGCAUUUGAAACUGGCAAACUAGAGUACUGUAGAGGGGGUAGAAUUUCAGGUGUAGCGGUGAAAUGCGUAGAGAUCUGAAGGAAUACCGGUGGCGAAGGCGGCCCCCUGGACAGAUACUGACACUCAGAUGCGAAAGCGUGGGGAGCAAACAGGAUUAGAUACCCUGGUAGGAUAGCG